AGGACUUGGAGAUCUGGAAAAUAGUCAGGGUGGUAGAUCUCGAGGACCAGGAAUGAGCAGCCCUGAACUACACAGUAGAAGAUGCAAGGUCAAACCAAUUAGGGUCCUAUUUAACACCAGACCUGUCCCUGAUUUCAGGAGAAACCCUGCUCUUUCACCUGCCAUAACUCUUUAAUCAUUUAAACAAUUAACAGUUCUAACAGAUUCUGAAGCUGAGAAAAGCAGCAUUGACACAAAGCUGCUUUUAUCCAGAGUCAGUUGGUUUGUGUAAACACUCUACCACUGUAAAGUGCUGCAUAUCUGCUUUUUUGAUACUUUUAGAAUCCAUGAACAGUUGAAGGAGCGCCAACUCUGUAGCAAAUGUUCCAUUGUUAAAUGGUUCAGAAGGUUGAAGAGAAGGAACUAUAAAAACGGAAACAAUAAACUCCCUCAUUCUGGAUGGCGUUCCCUGUAUGAGACUCUUUAUUCAACUCUGACACAGCGUGGAAGACUUCAGCCGGCGCUACACACACCCCGCAGCAAGAGUGAGCCCAGCUACAUAUGCAGUUUCACAGUUGUCGGUGAGUUUUUUAUUUUUUUUUUAUCUCUUUCAAUCUAUCUACUUAAGCAACUACAGUCAGAGGAAAACAAGAAGCCACCUUUUUCUUUAAGGGAAAU
rnacentral:lncRNA from 1 species